rnacentral:rRNA from 1 species
UUGGGCGUAAAGCGUCUGUAGGCGGAAUAAAUAGUCAGAUGUUAAAUUUCAGGGCUCAACCCUGAAACCGCAUUUGAAACGUUUAUUCUAGAGGAUGGUAGAGGCAAGUGGAACUUACGGUGUAGCAGUAAAAUGCGUUGAUACCAUAAGGAACACCAAAGGCGAAGGCAUCUUGCUGGACCAUUUCUGACGCUGAGAGACGAAAGCGUGGGUAGCGAAUGGGAUUAGAUACCCCAGUAGUCCACGCCGUAAACGAUGGAUAUUAGACAUUAGGAGUGUCGACCCUUUUAGUGUCGAAGCUAACGCAUUAAAUAUCCCGCCUGGGAAGUACGGCCGCAAGGCUAAAACUCAAAGGAAUAGACGGGGACCUGCACAAGCGGUGGAGCAUGUGGUUUAAUUCGAUGAUAAGCGAGGAACCUUACCAAGGCUUGAAAUCUCUAGAAUCCCCGAGAAACCGGGGAGUGCCGCAAGGAACUAGAUGACGGGUGCUGCAUGGUUGCCGUCAGCUCGUGCCGUGAGGUGUUCGGUUAAGUCCAGUAACGAGCGCAACCCUUUUCAGAUGUUGAAUUUUUCAUCUGAGACUGCCCGGGUUAACCGGGAGGAAGGCGGGGACGACGUCAAAUCAGCAUGGCCCUUGACGCCUUGGGCUACACACAUGCUACAAUGGGAAGUUACAAAGGGUCGUCAAGCCGAAAGGCGGAGCUAAUCCCACCAAAACUUCUCUCAGUUCGGAUUGAGGGCUGCAACUCGCCCUCAUGAAGUUGGAAUCGCUAGUAAUCGUGAAUCA